rnacentral:lncRNA from 1 species
GCCUACAACCAUGUUGUGUCCCCAUAGUAGUCAAUGGUGGGAAAUGCCAGCAUGGUGGAGGUUUAGCCCAUAUGUGGCAAAAAAAUCGUUGAGUACUUGUUUGGCUUAGCAGCCAGCCACAAUUGAACUUAAAACAUGGUUGUAGCGUUCAUGACUCUCAUCCAGUGCAAAAACCUCUUACCCAGACCUAAAGUGGUGU